GGAACAUCCUGAGAGAGGCGUCUACAGACGAUCUGGGCUUCGUGUGAACAUCAGAGAGUGAACUUACCCAGGCCUCGAUGACACAACCUGACUUCUGCCUUAGGUUGCAUGGUGUCGUCCGUUGCUCCUAGACUGCAAGAAAGUACAGCACCCUUGCCUGGCUGGAAGGCCAAUCUUAUCUAGUAAGCCAUUGCUUGUGCUGAAGAAGAACCAGCCGGCAAGCCAGAUCACCUAAUAAGGCCUCAGAAGGGUAUCUGAAAGCCUGAUGUGGACAUUAGCCAUCUCCCCUCAGUGAAUACAAGGAUAUCAGACUCUUACAGGCCACAGCUCUGGGAAUAGGAGAUUGUUACAAUUGUUUUAAAAUGAUUUAAAGCUAUCAUUUAAAAUGUGACUUUUACUUCCUUUCAGAUGUUUAAAUUGACUUCCCCUUCCUGUAAAAAACAUGUUGUAAAUUACAGAAUGUUAUCUAAAAUGUCAGCAUGACUAGGAGACUCUGAAUCAUGUAAGUGGCCAUGUAUAAGAAAUUGUUCGUGUAAAUCUUGAUUAUGCGAAAACUGCACAUACGUAGGCUUCAAACUCAGGAUGGGUGAAGGACUAUGCAUUUAAAAUGUAAAUACUGGAAUAAAUUUGUGUUACUUUGAGUGGGUUUUUUGUAAGGAUGGUGACCCAUCUCCCUGUAACCUGGUUGUAAAAUUAAACACUCCUUUUUCUCCCA